UAGGGAAUCUUCGGCAAUGGGCGAAAGCCUGACCGAGCAACGCCGCGUGAGCGAUGAAGGCCUUCGGGUCGUAAAGCUCUGUUGUUAAGGAAGAACAAGUACGAGAGUAACUGCUCGUACCUUGACGGUACUUAACGAGAAAGCCACGGCUAACUACGUGCCAGCAGCCGCGGUAAUACGUAGGUGGCGAGCGUUAUCCGGAAUUAUUGGGCGUAAAGCGCGCGCAGGCGGUUUCUUAAGUCUGAUGUGAAAGCCCACGGCUCAACCGUGGAGGGUCAUUGGAAACUGGGAAACUUGAGUGCAGAAGAGGAAAGCGGAAUUCCACGUGUAGCGGUGAAAUGCGUAGAGAUGUGGAGGAACACCAGUGGCGAAGGCGGCUUCUGGUCUGUAACUGACGCUGAGGCGCGAAGCGUGGGGAGGCAAACAGGAUUAGAUACCCUGGUAGUCCACGCCGUAAACGAUGAGUGCUAGGUGUUGGGGGGUUCCG
rnacentral:rRNA from 1 species